rnacentral:snoRNA from 1 species
GCGGGAAGGGGAGCUAUUUUGCCCCCUGGGCAAAAUAGUGUCCCAUGCCAGAGCAAACUAGUUCCAAACCAUUGCCUGGCCUCUAUCUGUAGGCUGCUGACACUGAAGAGAGCUGCACAGUG